GAUUGAACGCUGGCGGUAUGCUUAACACAUGCAAGUCGAACGGAAACGAUACUAGCUUGCUAGUAGGCGUCGAGUGGCGGACGGGUGAGUAACGCGUAGGAAUCUGCCUGAUAGUGGGGGAUAGCCCGAAGAAAUUCGGAUUAAUACCGCAUAAUCUAUUCGUAGUAAAGUGGGGGACUUUCGAGCCUCACGCUAUCAGAUGAGCCUGCGUAAGAUUAGCUUGUUGGUAGGGUAAAAGCCUACCAAGGCGACGAUCUUUAGCUGGUCUGAGAGGAUGAUCAGCCACAUCGGGACUGAGACACGGCCCGAACUCCUACGGGAGGCAGCAGUGGGGAAUAUUGGACAAUGGGGGCAACCCUGAUCCAGCAAUACCGCGUGUGUGAAGAAGGCCUGAGGGUUGUAAAGCACUUUCAAUUGUGAAGAAAAGUUAGCGGUUAAUAACCGUUAGCCUUGACGUUAACUUUAGAAGAAGCACCGGCUAACUCCGUGCCAGCAGCCGCGGUAAUACGGAGGGUGCAAGCGUUAAUCGGAAUUACUGGGCGUAAAGCGUGCGUAGGCGGUUUAUUAAGUCAGAUGUGAAAGCCCCGGGCUUAACCUGGGGACUGCAUUUGAAACUGGUCAACUAGAGUAUGGUAGAGGAAAGUGGAAUUUCUGGUGUAGCGGUGAAAUGCGUAGAUAUCAGAAGGAACAUCAAUGGCGAAGGCAGCUUUCUGGACCAAUACUGACGCUGAGGUACGAAAGCGUGGGUAGCAAACAGGAUUAGAUACCCUGGGUAGUCCACGCCGUAAACGAUGAUAACUAGCCGUUGGGGGGAUUUACCCUUUAGUGGCGAAGCUAACGCGUUAAGUUAUCCGCCUGGGGAGUACGGCCGCAAGGUUAAAACUCAAAGGAAUUGACGGGGACCCGCACAAGCGGUGGAGCAUGUGGUUUAAUUCGAUGCAACGCGAAGAACCUUACCUGGUCUUGACAUCCUGCGAACUUUCUAGAAAUAGAUUGGUGCCUUCGGGAACGCAGUGACAGGUGCUGCAUGGCUGUCGUCAGCUCGUGUCGUGAGAUGUUGGGUUAAGUCCCGUAACGAGCGCAACCCCUAUCCUUAUUUGCCAGCACAUCAUGGUGGGAACUAUAAGGAGACUGCCGGUGAUAAACCGGAGGAAGGCGGGGACGACGUCAAGUCAUCAUGGCCCUUACGACCAGGGCUACACACGUGCUACAAUGGGAAGGACAAAGAGCCGCGAAGCCGCGAGGUGUAGCUAAUCUCAUAAACCUUUUCGUAGUCCGGAUUGGAGUCUGCAACUCGACUCCAUGAAGUCGGAAUCGCUAGUAAUCGUAGAUCAGAAUGCUACGGUGAAUACGUUCCCGGGUCUUGUACACACCGC
rnacentral:rRNA from 1 species